rnacentral:tRNA from 1 species
GGAGAGGUGGCUCAGAGGUUAAGAGCACUGACUGCUCUUCCAGAGGUCCUGAGUUCAAUUCCCAGUAACCCCA